CAUGUCAUAAAUCAAUAUAGUGGUCAGUGACCGGAAAUUUAAUUACACGUGUAUUGUCAGAUUAACUAUUCAAUCCAUUUAAAUCCCGGAGGUCAUGUUUUGACAUAUGUGUAUUAGUUCGAGAUAAAAAAUGAAUUUUGAAUGCUUUUGUUAACCUUGGGACCGUAAAUUUAGUUCGACUCAACCGAAAUUUCGACUCAUCAGGAGUCGAAUUACAUACUUUUGUAUGGAAUAAAGUUCGGGACCACGUGAAAACUUCGACUCAUCCGAAAUUUCGAGUCAACCGAGUUCGUAACAACGAGAGUUAACUGUAUUCGGC
rnacentral:lncRNA from 1 species